rnacentral:tRNA from 1 species
UAGGGGCUGGGGCUCAGUGGCAGAGCACUUGCUUAGCAUACAUGAGGCUCUGGGUUCGAUCCUCAGCACAUAA